rnacentral:tRNA from 1 species
GCGGGAAUAGCUCAGUUGGUAGAGCGCAACCUUGCCAAGGUUGAGGUCGCGAGUUCGAGUCACGUUUCCCGCUCCA